rnacentral:rRNA from 1 species
UACGUAGGGGGCAAGCGUUAUCCGGAAUUACUGGGUGUAAAGGGUGAGUAGGCGGCAUGGUAAGCCAGAUGUGAAAGCCUUGGGCUUAACCCGAGGAUUGCAUUUGGAACUAUCAAGCUAGAGUACAGGAGAGGAAAGCGGAAUUCCUAGUGUAGCGGUGAAAUGCGUAGAUAUUAGGAAGAACACCAGUGGCAAAGGCGGCUUUCUGGACUGAAACUGACGCUGAGGCACGAAAGCGUGGGGAGCGAACAGG